rnacentral:lncRNA from 1 species
ACACACCAUGCAAACCCUGAUCCUUCUCCACACUCCUGCUUGGGUGAGGCUGAAGAACUGGAGCAGAAGAAAAAAGAACUUGUUUUUAAGUAAGUAACCCCAAGCCUGGUUGUGCGUGCUUGUGUGUGUUUCUUCCUACAACUGACUUUAAUGACAAUUGGUCCUGGCAAAAGCAGGAUAAGAUCAGCAUCUGGGAGCUGAGUGGGCCUGGGGUGUAGAACUGAGCGUAAACCAAGUCCUGGGCUCCAGGAAGAAAAUGGAGAACAGAGCAUUUGCAUUUAUCCCAGUUUUGAUUUCCUAUGUAGUGAGUACCAGGUCAGAUAAACUUUCUGUGGUAGAACAGAAAGAAUUAGAAUGGAGACCACGGAAGCUCAAACUUAACCACUAAGUUAACUUCUAACUCUAGCCACUGUGUGGACAGCAGAAAGCCAGAAACCACUUGUUUUCCUUAAAGAAUAAAAUUCCAUCAGCUGCCUAAAUGAACAUGAUGCAUUCAACUCACAGUACAGAGGAUCUGUGACGUUUCAGACACUAUCCUGCAUGGGCUCAGUGACUCCUUAUAGCAAAACUGCAGGGCAAGAAUGAUUCCAAUUUUGCUAAUGGGGAAAAUGAAGCUCAAAUAAUACAUCAGAUUAAGAAUACUUGAUAUACGAAGGCAAUGCUAAAGCUGAAACUACCCCAUGAAAUAGCUUUUAAUUAGGCCAGUGCCCCAGCUUCCCUACCUCGUGGCACACAUAAAAAUUAUCAUAUUUAUAUUGUGCUCUUAUUAAAGAGAGAGGAACUUAAUGAAAACUUCAGCCAUCAGUGGGUGAGAGGGUGUCAAUGUUUUAAUCCUCACUAGAUAAAAGAAUAAUCAAUGCUUCAUCCUCCAGUGGGUGAGGAAAUCAAUGUGUCAGCCCUCUGUGAAUAAGAAUAGCAAUAUUUCCAUCUAUAAGAAUUGAAAACCUCAAGUCUACUCCAUAAAAAACAUGGUGACCCCUUUGGUAAGAUAAUACAAGAGGUUUCAGGAAGGCAGCCAUAUUGCAAGAGCAUCCAAACAUUUUAUAGCUUGAGAGAUGACAUUCCACUCCUGGCUUGGGUUAAUCAUUGCCCCCCCCCCCCCCCACACACACACACAUUCCUCUUCCCAAAUAUGUUCUCUGGGGGUAAUGCAUGUCCUUCCUUCCUUCCUUCCUUCCUUCCUUCCUUCCUUCCUUCCUUCCUUCCUUCCUUACAAAAUGCAAUGUUGGAAACAUUGAUUUUGGAGUAAGAGACAGACCUGGCUCCUAAACCUCUUACAUCCUUGUUCAGCUCACUUCAAGAGAUGGACAUGGCUCCUAAACCUUCACCAUCCUUGUACAGUUCACUUCAAGGAAACUGAAACAGAUGGACUUUCUUUGAAAGCUCAGCCAAUUGACAAUAGUCCUGGGGUGGGACUAGCCUAGUGCUGUCCAGCAUGAAAUAAGCAAGAAAAAAGCAGGCAGGGUGAAUAGACAAUAGCUAAGACUUAUCAACUCUCUUACUACCAGUGCAAUUAUCGGCAAUUUCCCAAGGACCUACUGCAUUCCAGAUGUCACUUAUAUGUGUUCCACAAUCCCUGUAAGGACAUAGUGACAUGGAUUUUGUUGUCACUGUUAGACAAGGACCUUUCAUGAAGAGAAGUUAAAACCUAAUGGAAUGGUGCAGUAUUACCCCAUAACAUACCUACAUAGCCACUAAUCUCAGUGUACUAGAGGCUAAGGCAUGAACAUUUUGAAUUUGAGGGCAGCUUUAAUUAACAGUGAGACCUUGUUUCAAAGAACCUGAAAGCAAGAAAAGGAAAAUGGUUCAGUGCUCCCAUGACUUGUCAGCUCACAUCACCUUAGGAAUAAGCAUUGUGUUAACUAUUUGUUGCUGUAACCAAAUAACUGACUGAAACAAUCCAAGAAAGAAAGCAAAGGUUCAUAUUAGCCCAUAGUUCAAUAAGGUACAUGGCACUGUCAUGAGGAGAAUAUGUGGCAUCAGGAAACACCUACUGGUCACACUGCAACCACAGUCGGGAGGCAGAGAGAGAUGUAGGUGCUCAGCUCACAUCCUCUUCUUUAUUCAGUCUCAGAUCCAAGUCCACAGGAUGGUGCCAUUCCCCCCCCCCCCCAGUCAGGAUGAGUCUCUCUCAAAUUAAACCUCUUUGAAAACACCCUCUAACUAUUUCUUGAUUAUAAAUUCCUAUUCCCUACAAGUGUCCUGGUGCUUUUGAUAGUAUCACUACAUAGAAAGGAAAUUUUUUUGCCUGAAAAUAUGAACAAGAUAUAUCUAUCUAAAUACAUAUUUAUAUACUACCUAUAUGGAUAUAUAAUAAAAAUAAAGCAUAUUUACAUGCCAAAAAAAGGAAAGAAAACACGCUCUAAAUGAUUCUAAGUGUAGUCAAACUGGCAAUAAAGAUUAAACCUCACUAACCUCUUCCUU